UAUAUAUAUGUAUGUGUUGGAUUGGAGAACCACUCGAGGAGGGAGGGAGGAAGCACGGAAGGUCACCAUGGACCUCGCCCAACUCCCACCCAUCUUCCUGCCUGCAGCUGUAGGCCAAAUAAAGGAUGUUGUUCUCGGUGGAGUUGCGCUUGAGGAUGAGCAGAGAGAGAAAGUUUAAUCAAAUCCAAUAGCUUCAGUCGUGUCUGCCACUGCUCAUUGUCGUGUUGACAGAGCGUUCACCCGAUGGCGGAAUACCACGCCGCAGCAUGGGUAGUCGGCGGUUGCGCUAUAUACGUGAGUGAAAAACCCGAAAACCAUGACUUCGAUCUGCUGAGGAAGCUUGCAUUUCCUGACGGAUCAAUCCUGCGAGCCAAACUGCCCGGGAGACAAACUGCACUACCGUUGUCGCGGAAAUUCCGUGCGAUGGAAGCUUCUAGAGCCUGCUGGUACUUCCUAGCCAGAAGCCUCACAAACUCGACGUCCAGC